rnacentral:rRNA from 1 species
GGGGAUAACUACUGGAAACGGUAGCUAAUACCGCAUAACGUCGCAAGACCAAAGAGGGGGACCUUCGGGCCUCUUGCCAUCGGAUGUGCCCAGAUGGGAUUAGCUUGUAGGUGAGGUAACGGCUCACCUAGGCGACGAUCCCUAGCUGGUCUGAGAGGAUGACCAGCCACACUGGAACUGAGACACGGUCCAGACUCCUACGGGAGGCAGCAGUGGGGAAUAUUGCACAAUGGGCGCAAGCCUGAUGCAGCCAUGCCGCGUGUAUGAAGAAGGCCUUCGGGUUGUAAAGUACUUUCAGCGGGGAGGAAGGGAGUGAGGUUAAUAACCUCAUUCAUUGACGUUACCCGCAGAAGAAGCACCGGCUAACUCCGUGCCAGCAGCCGCGGUAAUACGGAGGGUGCGAGCGUUAAUCGGAAUUACUGGGCGUAAAGCGCACGCAGGCGGUCUGUCAAGUCGGAUGUGAAAUCCCCGGGCUCAACCUGGGAACUGCAUUCGAAACUGGUAGGCUGGAGUCUUGUAGAGGGGGGUAGAAUUCCAGGUGUAGCGGUGAAAUGCGUAGAGAUCUGGAGGAAUACCGGUGGCGAAGGCGGCCCCCUGGACAAAGACUGACGCUCAGGUGCGAAAGCGUGGGGAGCAAACAGGAUUAGAUACCCUGGUAGCCCACGCUGUAAACGAUGUCGACUUGGAGGUUGUUCCCUUGAGGAGUGGCUUCCGGAG